CGCGUAGGCGGUUUGUUAAGUCAGAUGUGAAAGUCCACGGCUCAACCGUGGAAGUGCAUUUGAAACUGGCAGACUUGAGUACUGGAGGGGGUGGUGGAAUUCCCGGUGUAGAGGUGAAAUUCGUAGAUAUCGGGAGGAAUACCGGUGGCGAAGGCGACCACCUGGCCAGAUACUGACGCUGAGGUGCGAAAGCGUGGGGAGCAAACCGGAUUAGAUACCCGAGUAGUCC
rnacentral:rRNA from 1 species